UACGUAGGGUGCGAGCGUUAAUCGGAAUUACUGGGCGUAAAGCGUGCGCAGGCGGUUUUGGAAGUCAGAUGUGAAAUCCCCGGGCUUAACCUGGGAAUGGCAUUUGGGACUGCAAGGCUGGAGUUUGGCAGAGGAGACUGGAAUUCCUGGUGUAGCAGUGAAAUGCGUAGAUAGCAGGAGGAAUACCGAUGGCGAAGGCAGGUCUCUGGGCUAUAACUGACGCUCAUGCACGAAAGCGUGGGGAGCAAACAGG
rnacentral:rRNA from 1 species